UUUCUUACAAUCCGUACGUCUGAUAAAAGUUGUGUAAAGUGGGCCCAAUGGCAAGUGAAAUUAAGGAAAUUUCUUAAGUUCUCCAUAGAAGUUAAGGAACUUUCCCAGCCGCUGGCCAAUGGAAAGACCCUCAUAAAGACCACAUACUUGACAAAUUGUGCGCGCUUUGCACUCCGACCGAAUUUCUAGUCACACCGCUGCCUUAUAAAAAUGAACAAGGACAACACCUCUCGUAUUGUUCGCCCGCUAGCAACCGCAAAUAUGGCAAAUAGGCAAACAAACGUUGUAUCAGGGCUGAAGCUGCUGGGGAAACAGCUACCUGCACCAGCCGGUAUUCAGCACUUCCGGCUGACCCUCUCCGGUGCGCUGCUUCAAAUAAAUAUUUAUUAAUUUCAAACAUUAACGGCGCGAUAGAUUCUAGAAUAAAAACAUUAAGGGGUUUUCGAUGAAUGUAAAAAAUACCCUGCUCGGCAAAUCCAUUUCAGCCUAGACCAGGCAGCCCAAAGCAUCAAGCAGGUACACAAUUUGUGUACAUGUGUUAACCAGAACCCUGCAAGCCGCACAGGCUCCCACUUUCCACACCCGGCAUCCGCUGUAUCGCCCACGCCCAUCCCUACAUCCUGCCCUCCCCUUUCUAAAAUAGUACAGCCCUGCAGCCUGCUAAAUUUAUCUAACCCUCACGAGCACCUAGGCCAGCCCUAAGGCCUUGCAGCACCUUUGAACGACACCCACGGUGUGGUGCAUAAUGCCGAACAAGAAGCACAAAGCUUCCACAAAACUGGGAACAUCUUAGAUAAAGGCUGUAGACUACAGCCUUUAUAAAGGAUAACCUUCCGACCUAUCAAUCAGGCUUUUGAUGAGGCGUCGUAAAAAGUGUUAAUCCGAGAUUGUCAAUUUGCUACCUGGUGGCCAACAGGUAGCAAAUUUUCCCCACCAAGUUUGAGCUUUUAGUAUAGGAAGAAUGCGCGCAUUUCAUAGCAUAUUAAACUAUAAUUAAUCCGCGAUGCGCGAAUACGGGCGGAAAUCUCUAACUAAUCGCGCUAACCUUAAUCCGCCCUAAUCCGCGCGAUGUUUCCAUAUGCGACGGAUUAAGCCUUAAUCCGCGAAUUUUAAUCCAAGUGGAAACACCCCCUAAAUCAUACCAUACUGAAGGCGUCAUCCCUCAAGUACACGCACUUAAUGCCACGCUCAGCAGCUGCACUCAGCUGCUCAGUUGUGAACCCCAAGGCUGCAACCACACCGACAAUCUUCUUCGGCAUCUGGUUGAAAACUUUCCACGCAUUGCACAGUUGCUUAAGUGACAGCCGGUCAUCCGGCGAAGGUAGCGUCUCAUUAUAGAUGAGCUGAAGGAAAUCGGAUGUACGGGCCAUCCGCUCGGGCAUGUCUUUGAUGUCUCCCGUGUCGACUGCGCUCUUGGCCUCCACCAACCAUAUGGUGUCAGGGUUGCUGAAGAGCACCCCAUCCCACUCGAAUCCCCGAGGCAGCGACGGCUCCAUCUUGGGAACCUUGUUGAAGCUUCGCGUUAACUCGAUCACGUCAUCGGUGCCCAACAAAGACCGAACAGCUGAGGUCAUCUGCACAUCAAAACGGUCGUUCUGGCCCUUUUGCCAGCCAAUGACGUCGCUCACGCUUUUCUGAAACACUUUCGUUGCUUCUGCGAACGCCUUCACGGAGGAAGCUGAGUUGCGCAGCUCCUGGUCCACGGUUUCAACGUCUUGACGCCGAAUUUCCUGAAUAGCCUCAAACAUCUUAGCAAGCUUAAGGUCAAACGCCGAGCUCGACAUGAAGACCCGCUGGUCCUCCACCAUCUUCGAUAGGUUCAUCUCGGCCAUUGCGUUGUAAAAUUCGGAGAAGCAGAAGGAGUUGUAGCCGACGC
rnacentral:lncRNA from 1 species